rnacentral:lncRNA from 1 species
CAAAUGUGUUCAAUAUGAAAAUUGAAAUUAAGAUGGUAAAAUCAAAUAUUAGCCGUUACUGUAAAUGGACUUAAAGUAUGACUUUUCAGCAAAUUUAAAGGGAAAUGACACGGAAGGGGCCAAAUAGUGUUCAAGGGGAGCAAAUGCUAUUUAAAUUAGUAUGCAGGUUUUAAAUAUAGAGGGAAGUUGAGUCAUCUUUUUGGGUGAAGUUAAAUACUGACUAG